rnacentral:rRNA from 1 species
AGAGUUUGAUCCUGGCUCAGAAUGAACGCUGGCGGCGUGCUUAACACAUGCAAGUCGAGCGAGAAAGGUCUUCGGACUUAGUAAAGCGGCAAACGGGUGAGUAAUGCAUAGGAAUCUGCCUUUUAGUGAAGAAUACCCUUGAGAAAUCAAGGUUAAUACUGCAUACGUCCCUUCGGGGAGAAAGAUGGCCUCUUGCUGUC